GGGGAUUUAGCUCAGCGGCAUAAGCGCCUGCCUUGCAAGCAGGCAGUUGUGAGUUCGAUCCCCU
rnacentral:tRNA from 1 species